rnacentral:rRNA from 1 species
UACGCAGGAUGCAAGCGUUGUCCGGAAUUACUGGGCGUAAAGGGCGAGCAGGUGGCACUACAAGUCUGAUGUAAAAAUCUCCCCGGCUUAACUGGGAGGGGCCAUUGGAAACUGUAGAGCUGGAGUGCAGGAGAGGCUAACGGAAUUCCCGGUGUAGUGGUGAAAUGCGUAGAUAUCGGGAGGAACACCAGUGGCGAAGGCGGCUCACUGGCCCGGUACUGACGCUGAGGUGCGAAAGCGUGGGGAGCAAACAGG